rnacentral:rRNA from 1 species
GAUGAACGCUGACAGAAUGCUUAACACAUGCAAGUCGAUGGGGAAGUGGUGCUUGCACCAUGGUAACCAUGGCGGACGGGUGAGUAACGCGUAAGGAACUUACCUGCGGGACCGGGAUAACAGCAGGAAACUGCUGACAAGACCGGAUAAGGUCAUUAAGCUGCAUAGCUUAGUGAUGAAAGGAGACGCCUGCGUAGAGCCUGGCGUCCUAUUAGCUAGUGGGAGGGGUAACGGCCCACCAAGGCGAAGAUAGGUAGCCGGCCUGAGAGGGUGGACGGCCACAAGGGGACUGAGAUACGGCCCUUACUCCUACGGGAGGCAGCAGUGGGGAAUAUUGGACAAUGGGGGCAACCCUGAUCCAGCAAUUCUGUGUGCACGAAGACGGUUUUCGGAUUGUAAAGUGCUUUCAGCAGGGAAGAAGGAAGUGACGGUACCUGCAGAAGAAGCGACGGCUAAAUACGUG